UGAAGAUGAAUCUGGCAAUUCCUAAACCAUUUACAUUAUUUGCAUUAAAUACUCCUAUUGAUUGCCCUCCCUGUGUCCUAUGCUAAAGAUCGAAUGUCAGGAUCUCUCCUUCAAUUGACACAGAUGCAUGUAUGAUCCUUUGAAUUGGAAGGUGCCAUGCGUGCCAAUUCUUUUCCCGAUCAGGCCAUGUGUUUUAAUCUCUUUUGAUAUACUUUCAGUCGGCUUCCUUCUCUAUGCUCAGUUUCACUGUCU
rnacentral:lncRNA from 1 species